rnacentral:rRNA from 1 species
CCAAGGAGUUCAGUAGGCACGCGAGUCGUUGACGUUGUGCAUUGAACAGUCGAAGGCGUAAUGAAAGUGUGCAAGAAAGUGAAUUGUACAUUUUUUUGUACUGUUUGCUUUCAGCAUGAUCGUCCUUUGUUUUGUUUGGGUGCUGCUUGAAUUUUUUCGGGCCACCUUUCUUAAUUCGUAAUGAAAGUAAGAAAAAAGUGAACGGUGCUUUUCUUGGGUGCCGUUUGCUUUUCAACAUGAUCGUCCUUUGUUGUUUUGUUUGGGUGUGUUGCUUGAUUUUUGUAACUUGCGCCGCCCUUCUUAAUAAUAUUUUGGACGCGCAGUGUUGUGCCGUUGAACAGUCGCACUGUUUGUCCAUCUCUCACGGGUUGGAGAAACAAUUGUCGAUCAGUCGGUUUCGGAGCGUGCACACUGGUACCCGAAAGAUGGUGAACUAUGCUUGAGCAGAAUGAAGCCAGAGGAAACUCUGGUGGAAGUUCGUAGCGGUGUUGACGUGCAAAUCACUCGUCUGACUUGAGUGUAGGGGCGAAAGACUAAUCGAACCAUCUAGUUGCUGGUUCCUUCCGAAGUUUCCCUCAGGAUAGCUGGCAUUUGUUUGUAACAAUUUUAUCCGGUAGAGCGAAUGAUUAGAGGUGUUGGGAACGCAAUGUUCUCAGCCUAUUCUCAAACUUCGAAUGGGUAAGCAAGGCGUUUUGCUUUGAUUUUACGAUGAAAUCGCCCAAUUAGAAUGCAUAAAUGCCUAGUGGGCCAAUUUUGGUAAGCAGAACUGGCGAUGUGGAAUGAACCAAAAGUCAGGUUAAGGUGCCAGACAUUGGCGCUCAUGAAAUACCAGAAAAGGUGUUGGUCGAUAUAGACAGCAGGACGGUGGCCAUGGAAGUUGGAAUCCGCCAAGGAGUGUGUAACAACUCACCUGCCGAAUCGACUAGCCCUGAAAAUGGAUAGCGUUUGAGCGCCAGGCCCAUACCUGACCGUCUCAAUUACGCACUUUUUUCUUUUUUGAAAAAGGUGUAAUGAACGUUGAGACGGGUAGGAAGGUCGCGACAGUGUUGCUUUGAAGAGUUUUGAGCGUGAGCUCGCUCGGAGCCGCUGUUGGUGCAGAUCUUGGUGGUAGUAGCAAAUAUUCAAGUGAGAACCUUGAAGGCUGAAGUGGAGCAAGGUUCCAUGUGAACAGCAGUUGGACAUGGGUCAGUCGAUCCUAAGAAAACGGCGAAAGCUUGUUCGAAUUUGCGACAUGAAUUGUAAGACUGUGUGUGUUUAUUGUGUGUGCGUGUGCAGUUGUCGUAUGUUUUCGAAAGGGAAUCCGGUUGAUAUUCCGGAACCGAGUAACGGAGACAAAGAGUAGCGCUUUAAUCUCUCUGUGGGGUUGGCGUUCAACUCAAUCGCGCGGUAACGCAAGCGAACUCGGAAAAUGACCGUCGUGAGUUUCGAAAAGAGUUUUCUUUUCUUUUUAAGGGACGCAUUCCCUGGAACCGGGUUGUCCGGAGAUAGGGAUUCUGGUAUCCAUAAAACGCCGACUUUUUCACGGUGUUCGGAGCGCUCUCGUCGGUACGUGAAAAUCCGAGCGACGCCUGGUAAAUCUCGUACUUGGUCGUACUGAUAUCCGCAGCAGGUCUCCAAGGUGAAUAGCCUCUGGCCGAUAGAAUAAUGUAGGUAAGGGAAGUCGGCAAAACGGAUCCGUAACUUCGGAACAAGGAUUGGCUCUAAGGGCUGGGCCGAUCGGGCUGAGGUUUCAAGCGUGCAGUGUAUGCUUGGCUGAGUUGUGUUGAGGACUUGUUCACUUGCCGCCGUUUGUUCGGUUGGUCUAGUGUAUUCGAGUCUGAAGCAGAGCUGGCCGACAGACCGGCACGUGCAGAACCUGAGCUGCGCGGCUGUCCGUUUACGUGUACAGACCGUUUCGGUCGGCAUUCAACAGCCAACUUAGAACUGGCACGGACACAAGGAAUCUGACUGUAUAAUUAAAACAAAGCAUUGCGAUGGCCGAUGAUCGGUGAUGACGCAAUGUGAUUUCUGCCCAGUGCUCUGAAUGUCAAAGUGAAGAAAUUCAAUCAAGCGCGGGUAAACGGCGGGAGUAACUAUGACUCUCUUAAGGUAGCCAAAUGCCUCGUCAUCUAAUUAGUGACGCGUAUGAAUGGAUCAACAAGAUUCCUUCUGUCCCUAUCUACUAUCUAGCGAAACCACAGCCAAGGGAACGGGCUUGGCAAAAUCAGCGGGGAAAGAAGACCCUGUUGAGCUUGACUCUAGUCUGACUCUGUGAAGAGACAUGAAAGGUGUAGCAUAGGUGGGAGAUUGUCAAAUUGCCAUCGUUCGCGCGGUGGUCCGGUGAUCGCCAAUGAAAUACCACUACUUUGAUCGUUUCUUUACUUAUUCGGUAAAGCGAAAAAAUUGUGGCCAAUUUGGCGGUGUUUAUGUCGCUGUUGGUCAUUGUUUUCAUGUUAGAUUGAAGCUUUGUUUACAGCCGUCGCUUUGUGUCGCCAUUUGACGCAUUGUUGUACUGGGUUAUCCCGGUGUGUGGUGUAGUCAGUAUGGAUGAUCGGCGAUAGGUUUGAAGUGAUUCGCUCCGGAAACAGUGUCAGACGGGGAGUUUGACUGGGGCGGUACAUCUGUUAAACGAUAACGCAGGUGUCCUAAGGUAAGCUCAGCGAGGACAGAAACCUCGCUUAGAGUAAACGGGCACAAGCUUACUUGAUUUUGAUUUCCAGUACGAAUAGAAACCGCGAAAGCGUGGCCUAUCGAUCCUUUUGAUUGUGUAGAUUUCAUGCAAGAGGUGUCAGAAAAGUUACCACAGGGAUAACUGGCUUGUGGCAGCCAAGCGUCCAUAGCGACGUUGCUUUUUGAUCCUUCGAUGUCGGCUCUUCCUAUCAUUGCGAAGCAGAAUUCGCCAAGCGUUGGAUUGUUCACCCACCAAUAGGGAACGUGAGCUGGGUUUAGACCGUCGUGAGACAGGUUAGUUUUACCCUACUGAUGACAAGUCGUUGCGAUAGUAAUCCUGCUCAGUACGAGAGGAACCGCGGGAUCAGACAUUUGGUUCAUGCGCUCGGCUGAAAGGCCGGUGGCGCGAAGCUAGCAUCUGCAAGAUUAUGACUGAACGCCUCUAAGUCAGAAUCUUUUCUAGUCAUUGGCAACGAUAAGUUGCGUCCGGACUCGAUGCGAGGAAACGAUUAGGCUUUGCUGUGUUUUGCGCAGCGAAGCCGUCAUCAUACCACGGUAGCAGGCAGUUGGGAUGGUUACGAAAAAGCAAUUUUUUGAAGUCAGUUGAAUUCAAUCAAACUGCUAAC